rnacentral:rRNA from 1 species
AUUGAACGCUGGCGGAAUGCUUUACACAUGCAAGUCGAACGAUGAACCUUAGCUUGCUAAGGGGAUUAGUGGCGAACGGGUGAGUAAUAUAUCGGAACGUGCCUUGCAAUGGGGGAUAACUAGUCGAAAGAUUAGCUAAUACCGCAUACGCCCUGAGGGGGAAAGUAGUGGAUCUUCGGACCUUACGUUAUAAGAGCGCCCGAUAUCGGAUUAGCUAGUUGGUUGGGUAAUGGCCUACCAAGGCGACGAUCAGUAGCUGGUCUGAGAGGACGACCAGCCACACUGGAACUGAGACACGGUCCAGACUCCUACGGGAGGCAGCAGUGGGGAAUUUUGGACAAUGGGCGCAAGCCUGAUCCAGCCAUUCCGCGUGAGUGAAGAAGGCCUUCGGGUUGUAAAGCUCUUUCGCAAGGGAAGAAAACUUGCCAUCGAAUAAAUGGUGAGGCUGACGGUACCUUGAUAAGAAGCACCGGCUAACUACGUG